CCACCCCCCACCCCUCCAAUUAUCGGUUCUAGCUACGCCGCUGUUGCAGGCGUACACUUAUGAAACAUGAGUCAUCUUAUACAGCUAUACUAAAUAUUCUGUUUUAAUUUUAGUGUUGACUCUCAACACAACAUCAUGCUGUGUUCCAAGGUUUCCAAGGAACUGGCUCAUGAGUAUGGAGGGCCACAACUGUUUUAAUAAAAGGUAUGGUGUACACAGUAUUUAUGGUAUUUGUAAUUGUCUUGCCCAAGGCCAAAAAAAAUAUGUGGGUUUCCGGUUUCUUCUUAUAAAAACUUAGGUAGGGUAGGUCGGUUUUAAUUUUUUUUUAACUUUUUUUUAAAUUUUCCAAACAAAUGAACGCCAUUUUGUUUAGUCAGUGCUUUCACAUCCAAAUUAGAUAAAUUUCCCUAAUAUUGCCUCAAAUUUCAAUUUUCCACGAACUUUUUCCUCUAAG